UACGGGAGGCAGCAGUAGGGAAUAUUGGGCAAUGGACGCAAGUCUGACCCAGCCAUGCCGCGUGCAGGAUGAAGGCGUUAUGCGUUGUAAACUGCUUUUAUACAGGAAGAAACGACUCUUGCGAGAGGCAUUGACGGUACUGUAUGAAUAAGCACCGGCUAACUCCGUGCCAGCAGCCGCGGUAAUAGUA
rnacentral:rRNA from 1 species